rnacentral:rRNA from 1 species
GACGAACGCUGGCGGCGUGCUUAACACAUGCAAGUCGAACGGAAAGGCCCUGCUUUUGUGGGGUGCUCGAGUGGCGAACGGGUGAGUAACACGUGAGUAACCUGCCCUUGACUUUCGUAUAACUUCACGAAACUGGGGCUAAUAUCGGAUAGGAGCUCCUGCUGCAUGGUGGGCGUUGGAAAGUUGCGGCGGUAGGGGAUGGACUCGCGGCUUAUCAGCUUGUUGGUGGGGUAGUUGCUUACCAAGGCAGAGACGGGUAGCCGACCUGAGAGGGUGACCGGGGACAUGGCGCCUAAGGGAGGCAGCAGAGGCGAACGGGAGGCAAUGGGCGCGAACAUUACACAGCGGGCGCGCGUCUGAGACGAAGACGCCGGGUGCGUGAAGCCCGCCUUCGGGUUAAGAACAGCUUCCGCUUGAGACGAAGCGUGAGUGACGGUACCGAAUAAAGAAGCACCGGCUAACUACGUG